rfam:Lingula anatina scaffold279, whole genome shotgun sequence.
GCCCGGAUAGCUCAGUCGGUAGAGCAUCAGACUUUUAAGCAUGAUCAAGUCAUCUGAGGGUCCAGGGUUCGAGUCCCUGUUCGGGCG